GAAAAACCUGAACAGUUGAAUAUUCUUCGCCCCACCAGCUAUUUCACUCGGUACACAGCAAACGUAAUGUGCAUAGGUUAGGUUAGGUACGCGUGUGGUCUAUUAUCUACGUCAGAAAUGCAUAUCGCACACGUAUUUGGAAAGUUCCACAAACUUGCCUAUAACAAGCGACUUGAAACAAAUACGAAACAACAACGCUACGAAAAGAGCGCAAAUCUUCCACACACGCUACUAAUUUACUAGACACGCUUCGAAACCGAGUGCUUGCGACUCUGUGCAAGUCUUUGCAAAAAGAUUCUAACCUUACUGAUUCCUCAGACAUAUCGAUUUUUACCGACCAUAGGUAACUGUAUUUUUCGCUAACUACUCUUAUCGUAGUCGCUGGCACCUUGAAACGUGAGCGUAGCUUUAAACUUAUAAAAAAAAAGAAAAAGAAGAGGAGAAAACAA